AAAUUAGGGAGUUAUUGUUGUGUAAGUGCUUCAUGCGUUUCGAUGAUGUUUACGUGCCUGCGAAUACUGGGAACCUGCAAUACUUCGAUUAAUCAGGAGGCAGUCAUGCUCUUGCGUUUGGGAGGAGGACUCUGCGUGAAGUUAAAUAUGCUAGUGCAGUCGUUGGGGGUGCACCCUACAUCCCCGAGGUGGCUCUGUACUGCAGGGAGGGGGUCUGACAUCAUCCUCUGGUCCUUCGCCGCUUUUCUUUUUCCCUCAUGGAUGGUAUCGGCUUGAGUUCUCUUCAACAGUCUCCUUUGUACUCUGACAAAUGUAACCUUGUCAUUUAUGAAUUCUUCCUGAUUCUGAUUGUUGACCCCCGGACUUUGGAUACCGUCUGUUCGUGUAGGGUUGAUGAGUUCUGGUGUGCUACUGAAGAUACUCUCUGCCGAGUCUGUGUACAAGCGCCGACAUUCUGGCGUUUUCGUGGGCUUCUUGCGACGUGUUGGGGGAACAAAUUUCUGACUAUUUCGUACCAUUUCAGUGAUUUCUGGAAAUAAACUUUUUUAAAAUUGAAAAUAAGGUCAUAAUUUCUUUGCUGUGAGCAUUAUUUACCAAAUCUUGACUUUUCUCAGAAUUGUCAAAAAUGUUGAAAAUAUAUUUUUAAGCGACCGAUUAGAAUGAUAUUGAAAUGUAUUACCGUAGCUAUCCCAGAGAUUAAAGUCAUACUGUAUACCACGAG